rnacentral:rRNA from 1 species
UACGUAGGGUGCGAGCGUUAAUCGGAAUUACUGGGCGUAAAGCGUGCGCAGGCGGCGCGUUAAGACAGGUGUGAAAGCCCCGAGCUUAACUUGGGAAUUGCGCUUGUGACUGGCGUGCUGGAGUGUGGCAGAGGGGGAGGAGUCAAUCGCGUGUAGCAGUGAAAUGCGUAGAGAUGUGGAGGAACACCGAUGGCGAAGGCAGCCCCCUGGGCCAACACUGACGCUCAGGCACGAAAGCGUGGGGAGCAAACAGG